rnacentral:rRNA from 1 species
AGUGAACGCUGGCGGUAGGCCUAACACAUGCAAGUCGAACGGCAGCACAGUAAGAGCUUGCUCUUACGGGUGGCGAGUGGCGGACGGGUGAGGAAUACAUCGGAAUCUACUUUUUCGUGGGGGAUAACGUAGGGAAACUUACGCUAAUACCGCAUACGACCUACGGGUGAAAGCAGGGGAUCUUCGGACCUUGCGCGAUUGAAUGAGCCGAUGUCGGAUUAGCUAGUUGGCGGGGUAAAGGCCCACCAAGGCGACGAUCCGCAGCUGGUCUGAGAGGAUGAUCAGCCACAAUGGAACUGAGACACGGUCCAGACUCCUACGGGAGGCAGCAGUGGGGAAUAUUGGACAAUGAGCGCAAGCCUGAUCCAGCCAUACCGCGUGGGUGAAGAAGGCCUUCGGGUUGUAAAGCCCUUUUGUUGGGAAAGAAAAGCAGCAGGUUAAUACCCCGCUGUUCUGACGGUACCCAAAGAAUAAGCACCGGCUAACUUGGUG